GGGGAUGUAGCUUAGCGGUAGAGCACAUGCCCAGCAUGUGUGAGGCCCUGGGUUCAUCCCCA
rnacentral:tRNA from 1 species